rnacentral:lncRNA from 1 species
UUGUUGCGGAAGCGACGAUAAUAUUAAUAACAAUAUUAUCAGAAAUAUUUAGAUAAUUAUUAUGCCAACAAUUAUACUAAGAAAAUUCCCAGUUAAAUUGGAGGGGUCACAAUGGUCCCGCUUAAAACCCAACAACUAGACAGAACUCACUUAGAUAUUUAUAGCAAUAAUAACUAAAUAAAUAUAACCAACAUAAAGCUAUUAAAUAUAAGCAAACAAAUAAGAAAUAAAAUACCAGAGAUUUAACGAGGUUCGGCCAAUUUAGCUUACGUCCUCGGACACUACCAAAUUAAUAUUUCUUUUAGAAAUAUUACAAAGGAGAAGAUUUUAGGAUGAUAAAACCAAAGGGGGAGGGGUUCUAUAUAUAACAAACCAAACCCCCUCCCUUUCUAUCUUUUCCUAAUGUGGGAUAUUGCCAAUAUUCAACAAAUCUCC